rnacentral:rRNA from 1 species
GAUGAACGCUAGCGGGAGGCCUAACACAUGCAAGCCGAGCGGUAGAGAAUCUUCGGAUUCUUGAGAGCGGCGCGCGGGUGCGGAACACGUGUGCAACCUACCUUUAUCUGGGGGAUAACCCUUCGAAAGGAAGAUUAAUACCCCAUAAUAUAUUAGAUGGCAUCAUUUGAUAUUGAAAACUCCGGUGGAUAAAGCUGGGCACGCGCAAGAUUAGCUAGUUGGUGAGGUAACGGCUCACCAAGGCAAUGAUCUUUAGGGGGCCUGAGAGGGUGCUCCCCCACACUGGGACUGAGACACGGCCCAGACUCCUACGGGAGGCAGCAGUGGGGAAUAUUGGACAAUGGGGGAAACCCUGAUCCAGCCAUGCCGCGUGUGUGAAGAAGGCCUUAUGGUUGUAAAGCACUUUAAGCGAGGAGGAGGCUCUUUUGGUUAAUACCCAAGAUGAGUGGACGUUACUCGCAGAAUAAGCACCGGCUAACUCUGUGCCAGCAGCCGCCGUAAGAC